UACGGGGGGGGCAAGCGUUGUUCGGAAUUACUGGGCGUAAAGGGCUUGUAGGUGGCCAACUAAGUCAGACGUGAAAUCCCUCGGCUUAACCGGGGAACUGCGUCUGAUACUGGAUGGCUUGAGUUUGGGAGAGGGACGCGGAAUUCCAGGUGUAGCGGUGAAAUGCGUAGAUAUUGGGAGGAACACCAGUGGCGAAGGCGGCUCACUGGACCGGUACUGACGCUGAUGCGCGAAAGCGUGGGGAGCAAACGGGG
rnacentral:rRNA from 1 species